UACGGGGGGAGCAAGCGUUGUUCGGAUUUACUGGGCGUAAAGAGCUCGUAGGCGGCUUGUCACGUCGGGUGUGAAAGCCCGGGGCUUAACCCCGGGUCUGCAUUCGAUACGGGCUAGCUAGAGUGUGGUAGGGGAGAUCGGAAUUCCUGGUGUAGCGGUGAAAUGCGCAGAUAUCAGGAGGAACACCGGUGGCGAAGGCGGAUCUCUGGGCCAUUACUGACGCUGAGGAGCGAAAGCGCGGGGAGCGAACAGG
rnacentral:rRNA from 1 species